rnacentral:pre_miRNA from 1 species
CAAAACCCCGAGACUGGGGGGAAGAAGGGACAGCACAACACAAAGUCUAAAAACACAGCUGAAAUUUAUUGGACAUGAUAUCGUGGUUUUCCGGGCACCUGUGCCCUAUAAAACCACAAUAUCAUGUCCAAUAAAUUUCAGCUGUGUUUGAGACUUUGUGUUGUGCUGUCCCUUCUUCCCCCCAGUCUCGGGGUUUUG